UGUCGCUGGCCCUAUCGGUCGCGAGGGAGAUCUCAGUAGACCUGGGCAGGGCCGAUGGCGCGGCGAAGAAGGAGAGGCGCGGGCUAGAGGGCUGGAGAAGGAUUCCCACUCGCUGUGGACGAGGUACGUGGACUGGCUACACCAGCACUGGAGCUAGGGCUUUUCCUUGGACUUGAGCCGAAUCGGGUUCACGAACAAGUUCGUGGAGAAGAUGGAGCCUCGGUUCCAGGCCGCGUUCAAGGCGAUGGAGGAGCUGGAGAAGGGCGCGAUCGCGAACCCGGCCUGGGCGAGGGCCGCAUGGUCGGGCACUACUGGUUGAGGAAGUCGGAACUUGUGCGGGUCGGAUUUCCCGUGGGAGCCUCUGGCGCGACGAAGAUGGCCUUCUCUGGAUUCGUUGACUGAAUCUUCAUCGGCUGAUCAUGGCGACUCUUCCUCUUUCAAGGUAAUCUUCUCUUUCAGCAUCGGGUCUCGGGUUUUGGGUUUGGGUUUGGUUCGUGUUAAUCUUUUAUGAUGAAAAUUGCUUAUUUUGAUGAUCGUGCAAUUGUCGGCGAGGAGGGAGAAAUUCUGAUCAUGGUAGGUUUGGGUACUUUGUUGGUGGUUGGAAUUUGAAAGUAGGGAUGGAGGGACUUUUAAUGAAUUGGCAUGCCGAGAUGGCCGAGCAAGCUGCGUUGGUUGUUCAGCACGUCGAGCAAUGUCUGUUUUCCGAUUCGCUCGAGAUCAGGGACUACCUAAAAGCGAUCGAGCACUUAAGCUCUAUGCGACUCGGAUUCAAGGACGUCGAAAUGUUUCUGUUCAGGCCGGAAGUGAAUGUGCUGCUGAACUUGGUCGGCUUGCAUUACUGCAUGCACUGGCUUGAAGUGCCAGCUGAGUAUGUCAUGGAACCGCUUCAGAAUAUCAAGAUCUCACAACAUCAAGUGAGUGUCAAAUGGUGGAAGCUUGGCAGAUUAUUCUAUGGCUUCCGAAUGCGAGACGAGUCUCAUUCUCGGUCAGUUUCCCUGCAAGAUCUAGCAUUGCCUCAGGAAAAUGAGGUCCUCAGCGUGCUUCAUUGAGGUGCCAUUCCUGAGGUCCUUCGCGUCCAAAUUUCCAUAUUCCAUUCUGCUAGCACUUCCUGGUCUUUCCCGGAGCGCGCAAGUCUGUGAUCAAUGAUGAUUGAUAUAGACAUCUGGUUGUACCAUAGAAGUAUGAUCAUGCUGGAAGUCAGUGGCUAUUAUCACAAGUUGUGGGUAUUAUUGGAUACCAUCCUCAAAGCAAUGGC